rnacentral:rRNA from 1 species
UACGUAGGGUGCGAGCGUUAAUCGGAAUUACUGGGCGUAAAGCGUGCGCAGGCGGUUAUGCAAGACAGAUGUGAAAUCCCCGGGCUUAACCUGGGAACUGCGCUUGUUACUGGCAAGCUGGAGUGUGGCAGAGGGGGGUGGAAUUCCACGUGUAGCAGUGAAAUGCGUAGAGAUGUGGAGGAACACCGAUGGCGAAGGCAGCCCCCUGGGCUAACACUGACGCUCAUGCACGAAAGCGUGGGGAGCAAACAGG